CACCAAGACGACGACGGGUAGCCGGCCUGAGAGGGCGACCGGCCACACUGGGACUGAGACACGGCCCAGACUCCUACGGGAGGCAGCAGUGGGGAAUAUUGCACAAUGGGGGAAACCCUGAUGCAGCGACGCAGCGUGCGGGAUGACGGCCUUCGGGUUGUAAACCGCUUUCAGCAGGGAAGAAGCGCAAGUGACGGUACCUGCAGAAGAAGUACCGGCUAACUACGUGCCAGCAGCCGCGGUAAUACGUAGGGUACGAGCGUUGUCCGGAAUUAUUGGGCGUAAAGAGCUCGUAGGUGGUUGGUCACGUCUGCUGUGGAAACGCAACGCUUAACGUUGCGCGUGCAGUGGGUACGGGCUGACUAGAGUGCAGUAGGGGAGUCUGGAAUUCCUGGUGUAGCGGUGAAAUGCGCAGAUAUCAGGAGGAACACCGGUGGCGAAGGCGGGACUCUGGGCUGUAACUGACACUGAGGAGCGAAAGCAUGGGGAGCGAACAGGAUUAGAUACCCUGGUAGUCCAUGCCGUAAACGUUGGGCACUAGGUGUGGGGGGCAUUCCACGUUCUCCGCGCCGUAGCUAACGCAUUAAGUGCCCCGCCUGGGGAGUACGG
rnacentral:rRNA from 1 species